GUGCCAGCAGCCGCGGUAAAACCAGCACCUCAAGUGGUCAGGAGGAUUAUUGGGCCUAAAGCAUCCGUAGCCUGCUCUGUAAGUUUCCGGUUAAAUCCAUUAGCUCAACUAAUGGCCUGCCGGAAAUACUGCAGAGCUAGGAAGUGGGAGAGGUAGACGGUACUCGGUAGGAAGGGGUAAAAUCCUUUGAUCUAUUGAUGACCACCUGUGGCGAAGGCGGUCUACCAGAACACGUUCGACGGUGAGGGAUGAAAGCUGGGGGAGCAAACCGGAUUAGGUACCCGGGUAGUCCCAGCUGUAAACGAUGCAGACUCGGUGAUGCGCUGGCUUGUGGCCAGUGCAGUGCCGCAGGGAAGCCGUUAAGUUUGCCGCCUGGGAAGUACGUACGCAAGUAUGAAACUUAAAGGAAUUGGCGGGGGAGCACCACAAGGGGUGAAGCCUGCGGUUCAAUUGGAGUCAACGCCAGAAAUCUUACCCGGAGAGACAGCAGAAUGAAGGUCAAGCUGAAGACUUUACCAGACAAGCUGAGAGGUGGUGCAUGGCCGUCGCCAGCUCGUGCCGUGAGAUGUCCUGUUAAGUCAGGUAACGAGCGAGAUCCCUGCCUCUAGUUGCCACCAUUACUCUCAGGAGUAGUGGGGCGAAUUAGCGGGACCGCCACAGUUAAUGUGGAGGAAGGAAGGGGCCACGGCAGGUCAGUAUGCCCCGAAACUCUGGGGCCACACGCGGGCUGCAAUGGUAGUGACAAUGAGUUCCGAAACCGAAAGGUGGAGGUAAUCUUCAAACGCUACCACAGUUAUGAUUGAGGGCUGCAACUCGCCCUCAUGAAUAUGGAAUCCCUAGUAACUGCGUGUCAUUAUCGCGCGGUGAAUACGUCCCUGCUCCUUGCACACACCGCCCGUC
rnacentral:rRNA from 1 species